rnacentral:rRNA from 1 species
UAGGGAAUAUUGCGCAAUGGGGGCAACCCUGACGCAGCAACGCCACGUGAGUGAGGAAGGUCUUCGGAUUGUAAAGCUCUGUGAGCUGGGAAAAAUGUCUUUUGUUUUAAUACAGCAGAAGAGUGAUGGUACCGGCAGAGGAAGCACCGGCCAACUUCGUGCCAGCAGCCGCGGUAAUACGAAGGGUGCAAGCGUUGUUCGGAUUCAUUGGGCGUAAAGGGCGUGUAGGCGGGUAUACAAGUCAGGUGUGAAAUCUCGAGGCUUAACCUCGAAACUGCGCCUGAAACUAUAUAUCUAGAAUCCCGAAGGGGGUCAGGGAAUUUCAUGUGUAGGGGUAAAAUCCGUAGAGAUAUGAAGGAACACCUGAGGCGAAGGCGCUGACCUGGGAGGGAAUUGACGCUGAGACGCGAAAGCGUGGGGAGCAAACAGG